rnacentral:rRNA from 1 species
AUUGAACGCUGGCGGCAGGCCUAACACAUGCAAGUCGAACGGUAACAGGAAGAAGCUUGCUUCUUUGCUGACGAGUGGCGGACGGGUGAGUAAUGUCUGGGAAACUGCCUGAUGGAGGGGGAUAACUACUGGAAACGGUAGCUAAUACCGCAUAACGUCGCAAGACCAAAGAGGGGGACCUUCGGGCCUCUUGCCAUCGGAUGUGCCCAGAUGGGAUUAGCUAGUAGGUGGGGUAACGGCUCACCUAGGCGACGAUCCCUAGCUGGUCUGAGAGGAUGACCAGCCACACUGGAACUGAGACACGGUCCAGACUCCUACGGGAGGCAGCAGUGGGGAAUAUUGCACAAUGGGCGCAAGCCUGAUGCAGCCAUGCCGCGUGUAUGAAGAAGGCCUUCGGGUUGUAAAGUACUUUCAGCGGGGAGGAAGGGAGUAAAGUUAAUACCUUCGCUCAUUGACGUUACCCGCAGAAGAAGCACCGGCUAACUUCGUG